AUGCAAGUCGAACGAACUCUGGUAUUGAUUGGUGCUUGCAUCAUGAUUUACAUUUGAGUGAGUGGCGAACUGGUGAGUAACACGUGGGAAACCUGCCCAGAAGCGGGGGAUAACACCUGGAAACAGAUGCUAAUACCGCAUAACAACUUGGACCGCAUGGUCCGAGUUUGAAAGAUGGCUUCGGCUAUCACUUUUGGAUGGUCCCGCGGCGUAUUAGCUAGAUGGUGGGGUAACGGCUCACCAUGGCAAUGAUACGUAGCCGACCUGAGAGGGUAAUCGGCCACAUUGGGACUGAGACACGGCCCAAACUCCUACGGGAGGCAGCAGUAGGGAAUCUUCCACAAUGGACGAAAGUCUGAUGGAGCAACGCCGCGUGAGUGAAGAAGGGUUUCGGCUCGUAAAACUCUGUUGUUAAAGAAGAACAUAUCUGAGAGUAACUGUUCAGGUAUUGACGGUAUUUAACCAGAAAGCCACGGCUAACUACGUGCCAGCAGCCGCGGUAAUACGUAGGUGGCAAGCGUUGUCCGGAUUUAUUGGGCGUAAAGCGAGCGCAGGCGGUUUUUUAAGUCUGAUGUGAAAGCCUUCGGCUCAACCGAAGAAGUGCAUCGGAAACUGGGAAACUUGAGUGCAGAAGAGGACAGUGGAACUCCAUGUGUAGCGGUGAAAUGCGUAGAUAUAUGGAAGAACACCAGUGGCGAAGGCGGCUGUCUGGUCUGUAACUGACGCUGAGGCUCGAAAGUAUGGGUAGCAAACAGGAUUAGAUACCCUGGUAGUCCAUACCGUAAACGAUGAAUGCUAAGUGUUGGAGGGUUUCCGCCCUUCAGUGCUGCAGCUAACGCAUUAAGCAUUCCGCCUGGGGAGUACGGCCGCAAGGCUGAAACUCAAAGGAAUUGACGGGGGCCCGCACAAGCGGUGGAGCAUGUGGUUUAAUUCGAAGCUACGCGAAGAACCUUACCAGGUCUUGACAUACUAUGCAAAUCUAAGAGAUUAGACGUUCCCUUAGGGGACAUGGAUACAGGUGGUGCAUGGUUGUCGUCAGCUCGUGUCGUGAGAUGUUGGGUUAAGUCCCGCAACGAGCGCAACCCUUAUUAUCAGUUGCCAGCAUUAAGUUGGGCACUCUGGUGAGACUGCCGGUGACAAACCGGAGGAAGGUGGGGAUGACGUCAAAUCAUCAUGCCCCUUAUGACCUGGGCUACACACGUGCUACAAUGGAUGGUACAACGAGUUGCGAACUCGCGAGAGUAAGCUAAUCUCUUAAAGCCAUUCUCAGUUCGGAUUGUAGGCUGCAACUCGCCUACAUGAAGUCGGAAUCGCUAGUAAUCGCGGAUCAGCAUGCCGCGGUGAAUACGUUCCCGGGCCUUGUACACACCGCCCGUCACACCAUGAGAGUUUGUAACACCCAAAGUCGGUGGGGUAACCUUUUAGGAACCAGCCGCCUAAGGUGGGACAGAUGAUUAGGGUGAAGUCGUAACAA
rnacentral:rRNA from 2 species